UGGGGCACAGCGGUUGUUUGCAGGGGCAUUUUAGAAGGAUGCCAUACUUGCUGGGGCACAGCGGUCGGUUGCUUCUGCUGCAGGGUAAUUUGAGCAGGAUGCCACACUUGCUGAGGCAAGGCGGUCGGUUGCUUCUGCAGCAUUUGAUUAGGAUGCCAAACUUGCUGGGGCACAGCGGUCGGUUGCUUCUGCUGCAGGGGAAUUUGAGCUGGAUGCCACACUUGCUGGGGCACGGCGGUCGGUUGCUUAUGCAUCAGCAUGUGAGCUUGAUGCCACACUUGCUGGGGCACGGCAGUCGGUUGCUUAUGCGUCAACAUGUGAGCUUGAUGCCACACUUGCUGGGGCACGGCGGUCGGUGGUUGCGGCAGCAUUUGAGCUUGAUGCCCCACUUGCUGGAGCACGGCGGUCUGUUGCAGCAUGUGAGCUUGAUGCCACACUUGCUGGGGCACGGCGGUCGGUUGCUUAUGCGUCAGCAUGUGAGCUU
rnacentral:lncRNA from 13 species